AUAUUGCAUUAACCGUUUAGGAAUUACAGCCAUUUUUUACAGAGUUCCUCCAUUUUCACAGGCUCAAAAGUAA